rnacentral:rRNA from 1 species
ACACUCCUGCGGGAGGCAGCAGUGGGGAAUUUUGGACAAUGGGCGCAAGCCUGAUCCAGCCAUGCCGCGUGCGGGAAGAAGGCCUUCGGGUUGUAAACCGCUUUUGUCAGGGAAGAAAAGGUUCUGGCUAAUACCUGGGACUCAUGACGAUACCUGAAGAAUAAGCACCGGCUAACUACGUGCCAGCAGCCGCGGUAAUACGUAGGGUGCAAGCGUUAAUCGGAAUUACUGGGCGUAAAGCGUGCGCAGGCGGUUAUGCAAGACAGAGGUGAAAUCCCCGGGCUCAACCUGGGAACUGCCUUUGUGACUGCAUGGCUAGAGUACGGUAGAGGGGGAUGGAAUUCCGCGUGUAGUAGUGAAAGGCGUAGAUAUGCGGAGGAACACCGAUGGCGAAGGCAAUCCCCUGGACCUGUACUGACGCUCAUGCACGAAAGCGUGGGGAGCAAACAGGAUUAGAAACCCGGGUAGUCCCAUG